AAAAAAAGCCGGAAUAGCUCAG
rnacentral:tRNA from 2 species